rnacentral:misc_RNA from 1 species
UCGCGGCUUAUCACCGGCAGUCCCCUUAGAGUUCCCGGCAUCAUCCGCUGGCAACUAAGGACAGGGGUUGCGCUCGUUGCGCCACUUAAGGCAACACCUCACGGCACGAGCUGACGACAGCCAUGCACCACCUGUGCAGGCUCCGAAGAGCACCCGCUUUCACGGGUUUCACCCUGCAUGUCAAGCCCAGGUAAGGUUCUUCGCGUUGCAUCGAAUUAAGCCGCAUGCUCCGCCGCUUGUGCGGGCCCCCGUCAAUUCCUUUGAGUUUCACCCUUGCGGGCGUACUCCCCAGGUGGAAUACUCAUCGCUUUCGCUUGGACGCUUGCUGUGUAUCGCAAACAUCGAGUAUUCAUCGUUUACGGUGCGGACUAC